rnacentral:tRNA from 1 species
UGGGGCGUCGCCAAGCGGUAAGGCAGUGGACUCUGACUCCACCAUUCCGAGGGUUCAAAUCCUUCCGCCCCAACCA